rnacentral:tRNA from 1 species
GGUAAGAUGGCCGAGAGUUUAGGCGGCAGACUGUAGAUCUGUUUACAGGGGUUUAAUUCCCUCACUUAUCA